rfam:Erinaceus europaeus unplaced genomic scaffold scaffold00281, whole genome shotgun sequence
GAAUGUGAGGGUAAUCUGGCUUCGACAUCUGUCACCCCAUUAAUUGCCAGGGUUGAUUCGGCUGAUCUGGCUGGCUAGGCAUGUCCCCUUCCUCCCUCACCGCUCCAUGUGCCUCCCUCCCGAAGCUGCGCGCUCAGUCGAAGAGGACGGCCUUCCCCGAAUAGAGACAGACCGGUGUUCAGUCGAGGGUAUGUGAGUAGCUGCGCUUCCCUGCUAGAACCUCCAAACAAGCUUUCAAAAAUGUCAGCACUUAAGAGUCCACCACACCAGGGCUGGGAUACGGCUCACUGUUUGG